GAAAAAACACUUGCUACAAAAAUGGUAAAGAUUAUCUUAUGUCUUAGCUUACUCAUGCUUAUCUACAGGGAAUAGAGAGGGAGAGAAAAAGUCAGAAAUAGUUGGGGAAGGGAGGGAAUGAAUUU